rnacentral:rRNA from 1 species
UACGGAGGGUGCAAGCGUUAAUCGGAAUUACUGGGCGUAAAGCGCGCGUAGGCGGCUCGAUCAGUCGGGUGUGAAAUCCCUGGGCUCAACCUGGGAACUGCAUUCGAUACUGUCGAGCUAGAGUGUGGGAGAGGGUAGUGGAAUUCCCGGUGUAGCGGUGAAAUGCGCAGAUAUCAGGAGGAACACCGGUGGCGAAGGCGGGUCUCUGGGCCGGAACUGACGCUAAGGAGCGAAAGCGUGGGGAGCGAACAGG